CUUCUGCAAUAGAGAAUUAAAAAAACAGAAGUCUGAAAACUUUAUACUGUUUUUGAUGGGUUGUUGAGGAAUUGACUGCCAAUUUCUCCAACACAUUAUUUUAACGACCUUUUAAAUAAUCAAAAAAGUUCUAACUUCCUUUGUUGUUCCAUUUUUAUAUAAGAAAGAUGAAUUUUGGUUCGUUCCAAGAUGGUAGUAAUGACGAUCAUGGUGGUGGAUUGGUGGCCUGUGGGUGGCAAUGAUGGUGAUGUCAAUCUUAAUAUAAAUAAAAAGAGGCAAAACUUAAAAGGAGCAAUGUUGGUGAUAGAAGAAUGGAAGUGUACAGAGGAGAAAAAGAAAGAAAAGAAAGAUGAAAGGCCACCGACAACAAAUUGUUGUGAUGGAGGAACAAAUGGAAAAGAGGUGUAGGUGGAAGGUGAGAAGUGUCUUGAAACAAAGCUUGGAAACUAGGAUUCUUUCAAGAAAGUUGAAGUAUGUCCUCACUUGACUCGAGGACAUAACUAUCUUUAGACUUUUUUUAUUCAAAGUAUUGUAAUAGACUAAGUAUUUCUAUAUUCGUAUUGUAUGGACCGUGUCCGAAGUAUUAGGAUUGACAUAUGUUGAGACUUAGUAUUUUCCUAUGAUUUUAAUAUGAAAGAUGUUUUAAGACA